GAUAAUAUCGGCACAAUAUCGGUAUCGGCCGAUAAAAGCUUAAAAUGACCAUUAUCGGUAUCGGCCGAUAUGAAUAUUUCUGCCGAUGAGCCAAACCGAUAUUCUCCAAGUGAAAUAAUUGACCUGUUUUUCAGAUGUGAAUGUCUGUCUACAUUUGUAAAAUAAUAAAUUUAUGGUAGAAUCAGUACAGAAGAGAUACAUGGAUUUCUCUUCAGUAAAAUUAAAGUUUAAAUAUAUCAGUAUAUAUUUGUAUAUAUAUCGAUAUCGGUAUCGGCAUCGGCCAAAAUUAUUUUGAAAAUAUCGGCAUAUCGAAUAUCGGCCAAAAUCCAAUAUCGUGCAUCCCUAAUUAAGAAUGCUGUGCAAUGUGUUUUUGUCUUUGUUCUAGAAAAAAAAACACUUUAGAAAGUUCUGAUGACGAAACAGACAUUGAGAUGAAGCGACAAUAUGAAAAAGCAAAAAGACAAAAAAAAGUUGCAAAAGAGAGGAUCCUCACUCAGUUGAAGGAUACACUGAGGAAACCACCCCACUCCACUCCAUGCAGAACCAAUCCAUUACAUAGUGAGGAGGAAGUUGAAUCUGAAACGGUGGACACAAACGUGGAUUUGUUCAAUUACCCAGGGAAUUCUCAAUCAACCAAACAAAAAAAGGUUGCAAAUGAGAGGAUCCUCACUCAGCUGAAGGAUACACUGAGGAAACCACUCCACUCUGAUCCACGCAGAACCAUUCCGUUACAUAGUGAGGAGGAAGUUCAAGCCGAAACCGUGGACACAAAUGUGGAUUUGUUCGAUUACCCAGAGAAUUUUCAACCAACUGAUACCUUAGAUGCUGUUGAGGCAAGUGGAGAGAGCGUGGAACAGCCAUUAUUUGUCAGUGGUGAAGUGUUGAAAGCUUUGAAAGAAAUCUCAACUGUGGCGUUUGGCACCUUGUUCGUACCCCACUUACGAUGUGUUUUUACACGUAUUACCUGUGGUGUGCAUCAGGAGUGGAG
ensembl:lncRNA